rnacentral:rRNA from 1 species
UCAAGCGACUAAGUGCAUGUGGUGGAUGCCUUGGCGACUACAGGCGAUGAAAGACGCGUAAGCCUGCGAUAAGCUUCGGGGAGCUGGCAAUAGAGCUUUGAUCCGGAGAUUUCUGAAUGGGGGAACCCACCCGCAAGGGUACUCUUACCUGAAUACAUAGGGUAGGUAGAGCGAACCGAGUGAACUGAAACAUCUAAGUAGCUCGAGGAAAAGAAAUCAACCGAGAUUCCCAUAGUAGUGGCGAGCGAAUUGGGAAGAGCCUUCAUGAUUUAGCAUUUUUGUUAGUGGAACAGUCUGGAAAGUCUGGCCAUAGUGGGUGAUAGCCCCGUACACGAAAACAAGAGUGUGGAACUAGGCAUGAGACAAGUAGGGCGGGACACGUGAAAUCCUGUCUGAACAUGGGGGGACCAUCCUCCAAGGCUAAAUACUCGUAGUCGACCGAUAGUGAACCAGUACCGUGAGGGAAAGGCGAAAAGAACCCCGGGAGGGGAGUGAAAUAGAUCCUGAAACCGCAUGCAUACAAACAGUCGGAGCCUGGAAACGGGUGACGGCGUACCUUUUGUAUAAUGGGUCAGCGACUUACAUUCAGUGGCAAGCUUAACCGAUUAGGGAAGGCGUAGCGAAAGCGAGUCCGAAUAGGGCGUUGAGUCGCUGGGUGUAGACCCGAAACCAGAUGAUCUAUCCAUGGCCAGGUUGAAGGCACGGUAACACGUGCUGGAGGACCGAACCCACUAAUGUUGAAAAAUUAGGGGAUGAGCUGUGGAUAGGGGUGANUAGACCCGAAACCAGAUGAUCUAUCCAUGGCCAGGUUGAAGGUGCGGUAACACGUACUGGAGGACCGAACCCACUAACGUUGAAAAGUUAGGGGAUGAGCUGUGGAUAGGGGUGAAAGGCUAAACAAAUCUGGAAAUAGCUGGUUCUCUCCGAAAACUAUUUAGGUAGUGCCUCGUGUCUCACCUUCGGGGGUAGAGCACUGUCAUGGUUGGGGGGUCUAUUGCUGAUUACCCCGCCAUAGCAAACUCCGAAUACCGAAGAGUGCAAUCACGGGAGACAGACAUCGGGUGCUAACGUCCGGUGUCAAGAGGGAAACAACCCAGACCGCCAGCUAAGGUCCCAAAGAUUGGCUAAGUGGGAAACGAAGUGGGAAGGCUAAAACAGUCAGGAGGUUGGCUUAGAAGCAGCNCACCCUUUAAAGAAAGCGUAAUAGCUCACUGAUCGAGUCGUCCUGCGCGGAAGAUGUAACGGGGCUAAGCCAGUCACCGAAGCUGCGGACGCACGCAAGUGCGUGGUAGGAGAGCGUUCUGUAAGCCUGUGAAGGUGUCUUGUAAAGGAUGCUGGAGGUAUCAGAAGUGCGAAUGCUGACAUGAGUAGCGAUAAAGGGGGUGAAAGGCCCCCUCGCCGUAAGCCCAAGGUUUCCUACGCAACGUUCAUCGGCGUAGGGUGAGUCGGCCCCUAAGGCGAGGCAGAGAUGCGUAGCUGAUGGGAAGCAGGUUAAUAUUCCUGCACCGUCGUAUGAUGCGAUGGGGGGACGGAUCGCGGAAGGUUGUCCGGGUGUUGGAAGUCCCGGUCCCUGCAUUGGAGAAGGCGCUUAGGCAAAUCCGGGCGCGGAAUUCAAGGAUGUGGGGCGAGCGGCCUAGUGCUGCGAAGCAAUUGGAAGUGGUUCCAAGAAAAGCCUCUAAGCUUCAGUCAUACGAGACCGUACCGCAAACCGACACAGGUGGGCGAGAUGAGUAUUCUAAGGCGCUUGAGAGAACUCGGGAGAAGGAACUCGGCAAAUUGGUACCGUAACUUCGGGAUAAGGUACGCCCUUGUAGCUUGACUGGCCUGCGCCAGGAGGGUGAAGGGGUUGCAAUAAAAUGGUGGCUGCGACUGUUUAAUAAAAACACAGCACUCUGCAAACACGAAAGUGGACGUAUAGGGUGUGACGCCUGCCCGGUGCCGGAAGAUUAAAUGAUGGGGUGCAAGCUCUUGAUUGAAGUCCCGGUAAACGGCGGCCGUAACUAUAACGGUCCUAAGGUAGCGAAAUUCCUUGUCGGGUAAGUUCCNNNNNNCGGGGACAGUGCAUGGUAGGCAGUUUGACUGGGGCGGUCUCCUCCCAAAGUGUAACGGAGGAGUUCGAAGGUACGCUUGGUACGGUCGGACAUCGUACCUAAAGUGCAAUGGCAAAAGCGUGCUUAACUGCGAGACCGACAAGUCGAGCAGGUGCGAAAGCAGGACAUAGUGAUCCGGUGGUUCUGAAUGGAAGGGCCAUCGCUCAACGGAUAAAAGGUACUCUGGGGAUAACAGGCUGAUNCCGGGGUUCUUUUCGCCUUUCCCUCACGGUACUGGUUCACUAUCGGUCGAUUACGAGUAUUUAGCCUUGGAGGAUGGUCCCCCCAUCUUCAGACAGGAUUUCACGUGUCCCGCCCUACUUGUCGUACACCUAGUUCCACAACGCUGUUUUCGCAUACAGGGCUAUCACCUGCUAUGGCCGGGCUUUCCAUCCCGUUCUGCUAACAAUGCUGCUAAAGAGUACAAGGCUCUUCCCAUUUCGUUCGCCACUACUUUGGGAAUCUCGGUUGAUUUCUGUUCCUGCAGCUACUUAGAUGUUUCAGUUCGCCGC